rnacentral:rRNA from 1 species
CACGUAGGUGGCAAGCGUUAUCCGGAAUUACUGGGCGUAAAGGGUCCGCAGGUGGGAGGACUUGUCCGGUGUGACAGCGCCCGGCUCAACUGGGCGUGGCCAUUGGAAACGGUCGUUCUUGAGGGACGGAGAGGGGUGCGGAAUUCCGGGUGUAGUGGUGGAAUGCGUAGAGAUCCGGAGGAACACCAGCGGCGCAAGCGGCACCCUGGCUGCUCCCUGACACUGAGGGACGAAAGCGUGGGGAGCAAACAGG